rnacentral:rRNA from 1 species
GAUGAACGCUGGCGGCGUGCCUAAUACAUGCAAGUCGAGCGAACAGACGAGGAGCUUGCUCCUCUGACGUUAGCGGCGGACGGGUGAGUAACCCGUGGAUAACCUACCUAUAAGACUGGGAUAACUUCGGGAAACCUGAGCUAAUACCGGAUAAUAUAUUGAACCGCAUGGUUCAAUAGUGAAAGACGGUUUUGCUGUCACUUAUAGAUGGAUCCGCGCCGCAUUAGCUAGUUGGUAAGGUAACGGCUUACCAAGGCAACGAUGCGUAGCCGACCUGAGAGGGUGAUCGGCCACACUGGAACUGAGACACGGUCCAGACUCCUACGGGAGGCAGCAGUAGGGAAUCUUCCGCAAUGGGCGAAAGCCUGACGGAGCAACGCCGCGUGAGUGAUGAAGGUCUUCGGAUCGUAAAACUCUGUUAUUAGGGAAGAACAAAUGUGUAAGUAACUAUGCACGUCAUGACGGUACCUAAUCAGAAAGCCACGGCUAACUACGUG